rnacentral:tRNA from 1 species
UAGGAAAUAAUACAAGGGAAGUAUGGAGGGUUUUGAUCCCUUUAGUGCAGGUUCGACUCCUGUUUUCCUAG